UACGGAGGGUGCAAGCGUUGUCCGGAUUCAUUGGGUUUAAAGGGUGCGCAGGCGGGUCAUUAAGUCAGGGGUGAAAGACGGUUGCUCAACAAUCGCAGUGCCUUUGAUACUGGUGUUCUUGGGUAACCUUGAGGUAGGCGGAAUGGGUGGUGUAGCGGUGAAAUGCAUAGAUACCACCCAGAACUCCGAUUGCGAAGGCAGCCUACUGGAGGUCAACCGACGCUCAGGCACGAAAGCGUGGGGAUCAAACAGG
rnacentral:rRNA from 1 species